AAAUUGAAGAGUUUGAUCAUGGCUCAGAUUGAACGCUGGCGGCAGGCCUAACACAUGCAAGUCGAACGGUAACAGGAAGCAGCUUGCUGCUUCGCUGACGAGUGGCGGACGGGUGAGUAAUGUCUGGGAAACUGCCUGAUGGAGGGGGAUAACUACUGGAAACGGUGGCUAAUACCGCAUAACGUCGCAAGACCAAAGAGGGGGACCUUUGGGCCUCUUGCCAUCAGAUGUGCCCAGAUGGGAUUAGCUUGUUGGUGAGGUAACGGCUCACCAAGGCGACGAUCCCUAGCUGGUCUGAGAGGAUGACCAGCCACACUGGAACUGAGACACGGUCCAGACUCCU
rnacentral:rRNA from 3 species